UACGUAGGGCGCGAGCGUUGUCCGGAAUUAUUGGGCGUAAAGAGCUCGUAGGCGGCCUGUUGCGUCUGCUGUGAAAUCCCGGGGCUUAACCCCGGGCGUGCAGUGGAUACGGGCAGGCUGGAGGCAGGCAGGGGAGAGCGGAACUCCUGGUGUAGCGGUGGAAUGCGCAGAUAUCAGGAAGAACACCGGUGGCGAAGGCGGUUCUCUGGGCAUGUCCUGACGCUGAGGAGCGAAAGUGUGGGGAGCGAACAGG
rnacentral:rRNA from 1 species